AAAUUUUAAAAUUCAAGUCCAAUUGUUAAUAUUGUUAACUUUUUUUUGCUAAAUUCAAAUUAAUUACCACACCUUUUUUACCAAGUGAGUGGGUUUUUUUUAUUUUUUUUCAAAAUACGAAAACAACAAAAUUAACAAAAAAAAUAAAAAUAUUAAUAGUUAGACCUAAAAUUUAAAAUCUGAAAAAUAAAAGGACUAAAUUUAAAAAAGAGUAAAUUAUUUUCUUUUCUUUUCUUUUUUUUUUUGCAAAAAGUGACUGAUAUCCAUUAAAAGGCACACGGCUCAAGGUGGUGUAAACAAAGUCUCAACAAAUAGGGAAAAAUGAAAAGACAAAACGCAACAAUCCAACAGCCAAGCCAUAAAACCGCACAUAGAAAACAACAAAACCGAUAAAUGCAAAAGAUAAAACCAACCCAUGCCAAAACAAAACGACUCAAAAACAAAAAUAUCAUCCAACACCUAUCUUCUCUUCUUGUAAAAAACGUGACUGAGAUGAGCAAACUGAAGAAAAUUAAAAAGCUUUGAACCCAUCAAUGGAGAUUCUUUGAACCUUCUCCAUAUUCAAAGCGGUUUUAAAAAUAAGCUUGGCGAUUCUAGAUCCAAGCCAUCCAAUCCUUAUCCGCCAUCGUCCUCAUCGAUUCUAGAGCUCCAUAUACCUAGACGCAAAGGAUUUGUCGUCUCCUUCCUUCCAAAGCCAAGGUGUGAGCCGCUCUAUUAACUGUUCAAGAAACAAAUAGGUAAGAGACUUCUUCAAAGUUAUUUUCAAGGGUACGAAUAUGGUGCGUAAUCAAUCUGAGAAUUGAUUUAUCUUCCCCUUUUAUCUUGAGUUUUUUUAUUACCGAUAGAGAGUCCCCUUCCAAGAGAAGACACCAAAAACCCAUUUUAGACGCAAAAAUCAUAGCCCUUUCGCAUGCCCUUACUUUAGCCACAAAACCGUCGACAACAUCUUCAAAAAGAUAAGUACAUGCCCUUAUAAUUUCAUCUUCAGAAUUUCUAGCUAAUACUGUUGCAUUAGAGGUUCUAGAGUCACUUUGAAAGGACGUGUCAAAAUUUAGCUUAAUAAUACCGAUGUCUGGGGACUCCAUAGCUCAUUCAACAGCAAUCUAGAAAAAACCUAGAGUUUCUCAUGGCUUGAACUUAUCUCUUGACUGUAGCCUCGAAUGAAUUCUAACAGUUCCUGCAAAGAAAACUUAACACCUUCAUGAAUAAGUUUGUUUCUUUGAGACCAUAGGGCCCAUAAAGAAAUAGCAAUAAUAUGUCUGUUGUGUUCAUUUGCUGCAGAGAAAGUGUUAACAAAUCGAGUUUUGCAACUUGAGGUACACCCGACUGGAGCAAACGUGAUUUGAAGAGAAACCCAAACUUACUGUAAUUUUCCACAAGAUCACAUCAAAUGGUCAGAGUCCUCUGAAGCCUCCUUGCAAAGAGGAUAGACAACAUCCACACUUAAAGUCCUUUGAAUAAGAUUACAAAAAUGAGGCACAAGAUUAUCAAACAACCCCCAUAUGAUUUUUAUUUUUUUUUCUAAAAAAAGAAUAAAUUCUUAAUUUCUAAAAAGUACAAGAAUUAUAAGUACAUUAUAACCUAUACUUAAAUCCAUUCGAAUUUAUAUAUAUUUUUAAAUGUUUACCACAACAAUUGUAGUAAGUUAAGAUUGCUCUUUGCUAGAAAAUAAAAUCAAUUAGCUUGAAUAUUAAAAUUGAAGUUUAAUACGAUCAAUCAUUUACCAUAGUAACAAAAAUAUUUAUAUUGUGGUGAAAAAACUUAAGUUGAAUCCUUAAUAACUCCACCCUUAUCUCAUUAUAAAAAAAUUGAAAUUUAAAAACAUUGCUUUUAAUCAAAUGUCGUAUCCCAUGGAGUGGGCCCCUUUUUUCUGUUAACAACGUGGGCUGUUGUUUUAACCGUAUGUGCCAAACAGUAACGAGGUUGAUAAGAAAUAUAAAUAAAAAAGGGACGGUUAAGAUGGAGCGAGUGUGACACAUUUUCAUUGACAGAAGGCCCAUCUUACGGACAAAACGGUGCAUCCAAUUAUCUACUUUUUUUGGAAUCACCGCCCAGCUGACAAAACGUGGCAACAGGACUUGCUUUAUGAUUUUGCCAAAUGUCUUCGCCUAUGAUAAGUUCUUAUGUUGUGGAUUGAUUGCCUUUUUGGCUCUUUCUACGUAAGUUUGCUUUGACUUCAACUUAUUUAUAUAUAAAUUAUUGAUCCAAUAAAGUAUUAAAACUAUCCAUCUGUACAUUAAUACAAAGAAUAGUGGAAUGAUGCGUGUUCAUUAAAUUUAUAUUUAAAAAUAUGUGAGAUUUUAUUUGCCUCGCUUGCACACUCUUUAUAUGUUGAAUUAUUUUCUUAUACAUCUUAUAUUUUAUAUUUAUUAUGUGAAAGGAAAAAAAAAUAUUAGUGAUAAAAAUUUAUAUUUUACGUUAGAGAAAAACAAUUUUAAAUGAUGAUUUACAGUUUUCCUUACAUGGGAAUUGGGAUUGGUAGUGUUUUAGGGGAGUGAGUGGUUAAUUAAUAAAAGUAGUUAUUUAUGACAGUAAAAUUUUAUGUUUAUUAUUGAUAAAAAUAAGUUUAACGUAAAAAAAAAGGAAAUAAAUGAUUUAUAGUUUUUU
rnacentral:lncRNA from 1 species